GCACGCAGUAGCAAAGCACAGACUUAUGAGUGGGAAGACUCCAUCGAUGAUUCAACUGAAGAAUCAAAUGGUGAUGGUGGAAAGGCUAACAUUUCAAAACG